GCGUUUAUAGCCAAGUGGUAAGGCCUCGGUCUGCAAAACCGAUAUCGCGAGUUCAAAUCUCGCUAAACGCU
rnacentral:tRNA from 1 species